GCAGCUAAGAAUCUUCCGCAAUGGGCGAAAGCCUGACGGAGCGACGCCGCGUGAACGAAGAAGGCCGUGAGGUUGUAAAGUUCUUUUCGGGAGGGGGAAUUACCGUGGCAGGGAAUGGCCGCGGGAUGACGUGAAUCCCGGAACAAGCCCCGGCUAACUACGUGCCAGCAGCCGCGGUAACACGUAGGGGGCGAGCGUUGUUCGGAAUCAUUGGGCGUAAAGGGCGUGCAGGCGGCACUGCAAGUCCGGCGUGAAAGACCCCGGCCCAACCGGGGGGGUGCGCUGGAAACCGCGGUGCUUGAGUACAGGAGGGGAUGCCGGAAUUCCAGGUGUAGGGGUGAAAUCUGUAGAUAUCUGGAAGAACACCGAUGGCGAAGGCAGGCAUCUGGCCAUGUACUGACGCUGAGACGCGAAGGUGCGGGGAGCAAACAGGUUUAGAUACCCUGGUAGUCCGCACAGUAAACGAUGUGCACCAGGUGGCGGGGGUAGAACCCCCGGUACCGUAGCAAACGCAUUAAGUGCACCGCCUGGGGAGUAUGCUCGCAAGGGUGAAACUUAAAGGAAUUGACGG
rnacentral:rRNA from 1 species